rfam:Dehalogenimonas formicexedens strain NSZ-14 chromosome, complete genome.
CACUGGAAAAUUGAAUAUCCUGAGACAGCCGGUGUCCCGCUUGUUCGGGACUUAAUGAACGCCAGCCGAGGAAAAAAUCAGACUCAUAAGAGUUGAUUCUAAGUCCUUGUGCAUGGCACAGGGACUUUUUUAUUGAAAGG